GACGAACGCUGGCGGCGUGCUUAACACAUGCAAGUCGAACGUGAUUUUUGUGGAAAUUCUUUCGGGAAUGGAAAUGAAAUGAAAGUGGCGAACGGGUGAGUAACACGUGAGCAACCUACCUUACACAGGGGGAUAGCCGUUGGAAACGACGAUUAAUACCGCAUGAGACCACAGAAUCGCAUGAUAUAGGGGUCAAAGAUUUAUCGGUGUAAGAAGGGCUCGCGUCUGAUUAGCUAGCUGGAAGGGUAAAGGCCUACCAAGGCGACGAUCAGUAGCCGGUCUGAGAGGAUGAACGGCCACAUUGGAACUGAGACACGGUCCAAACUCCUACGGGAGGCAGCAGUGGGGAAUAUUGCACAAUGGGGGGAACCCUGAUGCAGCGACGCCGCGUGAGCGAAGAAGGUUUUCGAAUCGUAAAGCUCUGUCCUAUGAGAAGAUAAUGACGGUAUCAUAGGAGGAAGCCCCGGCUAAAUACGUG
rnacentral:rRNA from 1 species